UACAGAGGGUGCAAGCGUUGUUCGGAAUUAUUGGGCGUAAAGCGCGUGUAGGCGGCAUGGCAAGUCGGGUGUGAAAUCCCUCAGCUCAACUGAGGAAGUGCGCCCGAAACUGCUUUGCUUGAGUGCUGGAGAGGGUCGCGGAAUUCCCCAAGUAGAGGUGAAAUUCGUAGAUAUGGGGAGGAACACCGGUGGCGAAGGCGGCGACCUGGACAGUAACUGACGCUGAGACGCGAAAGCGUGGGUAGCAAACAGGAUUAGAAACCCUCGUAGUCC
rnacentral:rRNA from 1 species